CGUAGUGGGUCGUUACUCAGAAAAGGAGAUUGGUACUCGAGUUUAAAGGGUAAUAAAUUAGUCAAACGUAUAAGGUAAAGGCAUCAGUGCUGAGCCAUGCACCAGUGUGCCAAAAGUAGGUGUUAUUAUAGAUUAAUAAAGUAUGAAUUGAAAAGUAACUUAAUUUUUAAAAUAAUUGUUUAGCAUAAACCACAACACUACUUCAAAGAAGUGCUGUCUUCUGACAUGAAGGGAUAUGCCAUAUGCGCCAUUUUUUUGGAGCGUCACAUGGUAUUUUGAUCAGACGUUAGCAGCCGAAUUGUGAUAUUUUUUUAAAAAAAGCAUGUGCACUGCUUCACGUAAUUAAUACUUAAUUUAUCUGGAAAAAGUAAAAAAUUAAUAUGAAUCCAUAUUAAAGUAAGCCCUGGCCGAUUACUGGGUUUGAGGCAGUAAUUUUAAAGGGACGUGGACCGAGAGGACAGCCGAUAGAGGCUGAGCAUAGGUUUCAAGAUUUAUUUUUAUUUUCAAAUGCAAUGUAAGUCGUUAAAUCAAGCACCUUUAAAUAUCUACAUUAUUAUGACUUUAUUUCAUUGAAAUACAUCAAAUACUCAGUAGUCAUCCUGUGGCUGACUACUGGACACUGAAAUCACGGAACUCGGAACCCAAUAGCCAGAAGUUAAAAUGGGAUGGCUGUAGACUGGGUACUUAAAGGCUGUGUCUUGGUAGUCGGGAGGCUGAUUGCUGGCGGAAGGGCCCUUGCAUUAUAUUUAAUGAAAUAUUUCCAUAAGCUAAAUUAAAUUACGUUUUAUUCUUUAUAAAAAUUAAACUUUAAUAAAUUAUUGAUGAGUAAAAACAUUCAUAAUUCUUAUUGAUCAAUUAGUGGGCAAAUGAGACGUUCUUGAAUAUAGAAAUUUCGUGGAGGGGUUGACUAUUGGUGCCUUUACCCUGCGAUAAGUACGAGAGACGCGUCUAACACGUCUGGAGCGGUUGCCGAAAGUUAUAAAUAGCUCAGUUUAAGUCAGGACCGCCAUUAUAUUUUUGACCGUCGGAUUGUCACUUUCUCUGGCUUAUUCGUAGACGUAAAAACAAAGAGCCAGUUCAGUGUCAGGUUGCAUGGUCAACCUACCGAGUACACCUAACCAAACGGUGACAAGCAGGUUUACUCGGGAAUCCAGUAGAGAGUUAGGUCCAGGUCGCGAGAGGGGCCUGGCGUCAGCCUUUUUACCAACACAGGUGACGAUUAUACCUCUUACGUUCUCUUCAAGGUCUGACAGAGGGAUAUGAGGGUCUCACGUGUGGACCAUUAGGAGUAAUCCUUACUCAUUGAAAUCUGUUGGUAAUUGAAGAAGCGUUGUCUUGUUAAAUAUAUUUAUUUAUACACAUUAUAUACAUGGUUAAGGCGCCUUAUUCAUCUGUACCCAGGCUUCGGCUAACACAGAUGGAGGGAGGCAAUCACACAGACACUAGGGUUUGCUAUACCUCGGUUUUGUCGGCCGAACGUUUAGAGCUUAAAUUAGGGUCCCUCACACACACACUCCUCCCUGUAAAAAUAGAGGUUCGCCUCUAGUUUUACACACAUUAGAAUAGGUGAAUUGGGGUAGAGUUAGGGUAGAGUCAUUAUUUGGGUGUUAGGUUUAUUUAUUUUCUUUCACAUUUAGUUUGAUUGUAUACAAAACUAAAAUCAUAAGAGUUUUUACUGUUUUUAAUUACAAAAUAAAUUAAAAUCUAUUUUCAGUAGCAUAUGGAUGGGUUACUGAGGCUCGUACAUUAAAUAUGAUUCAAGGUAUAUAUAUUUUUACAUUGGGUGAGAUAGGGGAACAAAGUUAUUUGAGGACAUACUAAAUAAUUUUGUUAUAGGGAGCUAGUGACCGGCGGAGCAGUUCACUAGUGACAAUUGAGCUUUUCUAUAACUGGGGAAUUAAAGGGUAAAUAAAGUCAUAUUUAAUAGACGAUUGUUUUCAGUAUUCCAUACAUUAAUAGUACAUUCAGAUGAGUUUCUUGGCGUUUCUUCUCGUCUGAAAUUAGGUUACGAAACGUUGGUAGAGUAAUAUUACAUAGUGCUUAGGAAUACCUAUUAAAAAUAAAAUAAAAUAAAAUGGGUAUUAAUUAGCUUAGAGACCCGUCUUCAUCCGGGCGUGACAGUAGAUAAAGUAUGUUUGUACUUACUAUUCUUUGCAAUAUUUACUUAUGGUUACAAUGGUUACAUAUACAUAUUUUCCUUUAGCUAGCUAGGUUAGCGAAGAGAUAUAUUAAAAGGAAAAUAUAAGUUUUAAAUUACAAACAAAAAGGGCUUACUACUGUUCACGGUAACUGGUCACGGUAGGGCCCGGUAGGAGAUAAAUUCUAAAAAAUAU